GCACUGAGAAGAAGAAUCGAGGAGACUUCUCUAGGCUACAGACAGCGCAGAGCACGUCUCUAUAGCCAAACAGACAGCAACACUGGACGUUCUGUAAUCUGCAGCCGAAUGUGGCGGGAAAAGCAGCAAUUAGAGAACUACAUAGCUCAGCAUGAUGACAUGGUCCAACCUAAAGAUCAAAUCGGACCAUUUAAUAAUUCUUUACAAGCUGGCUAUAUAUUUCCUUGGCAGUUACCACCCUCUGAUGGAGUGGAUUUCCUGUCCAAAAAGAAGGUUUUCGACAAAUUCAUGCAUAUACGUAGACUAGAGG